rnacentral:rRNA from 1 species
AAAGGAAUAGACGGGGGCCCGCACAAGCGGAGGAACAUGUGGUUUAAUUCGAUGAUACGCGAGGAACCUUACCCGGGCUCGAACGGCUGAUGAAUAUACCAGAGAUGGUAUAGUCCGUUAGGACAUUAGUCGAGGUGCUGCAUGGUUGUCGUCAGCUCGUGCCGUGAGGUGUCGGCUUAAGUGCCAUAACGAGCGCAACCCUUGUUGUCAGUUGCCAUCAGGUAAUGCUGGGGACUCUGGCAAAACUGCCACCGUAAGGUGUGAGGAAGGGGGGGAUGACGUCAAAUCAGCACGGCCCUUACGUCCGGGGCGACACACGUGUUACAAUGGGUGGUACAGAGGGCAGCUACUAUGUGAAUAGAUGCUAAUCUCCAAAACCAUUCUCAGUUCGGAUUGGAGUCUGAAACCCGACUCCAUGAAGUUGGAUUCGCUAGUAAUCGCGCAUCAGCCAUGGCGCGGUGAAUACGUUCCCGGGCCUUGUACACACCGCCCGU